AUACCGGCGGCUCGAGUGGUGGCCACUUUUAUUGGGCUUAAAGCGUUCGUAGCUGGGUUGCUAAGUCCCUUGGGAAAUCCGACGGCUUAACCGUCGGGCGUCUAAGGGAUACUGGUAAUCUUGGAACCGGGAGAGGUGAGGGGUACGUUCGGGGGUAGGAGUGAAAUCCUGUAAUCCUCGAGGGACCACCUGUGGCGAAGGCGCCUCACCAGAACGGCUUCGACAGUGAGGGACGAAAGCUGGGGGAGC
rnacentral:rRNA from 1 species